GAAUUCGCCCUUAGAGUUUGAUCCUGGCUCAGGACGAACGCUGGCGGCGUGCCUAACACAUGCAAGUCGAGCGGAGACAGUGAGUAGCUUGCUAUGAGCUGUUUUAGCGGCAGACGGGUGAGUAACGCGUGAGCAACCUUUCCCAGACAGGGGAAUAACACACCGAAAGGUGUACUAAUACCGCAUAAGACCACGGGAUCACAUGGUUCUGAGGUAAAAGAUUUAUCGGUUUGGGGUGGGCUCGCGUCCGAUUAGGUAGUUGGUGAGGUAACGGCCCACCAAGCCGACGAUCGGUAGCCGACCUGAGAGGGUGAUCGGCCACAUUGGGACUGAGACACGGCCCAAACUCCUACGGGAGGCAGCAGUGGGGAAUAUUGGGCAAUGGGGGGAACCCUGACCCAGCAACGCCGCGUGGAGGAAGAAGGUUUUCGGAUCGUAAACUCCUGUCCUUGGAGACGAGUAGAAGACGGUAUCCAAGGAGGAAGCCCCGGCUAACUACGUGCCAGCAGCCGCGGUAAUACGUAGGGGGCAAGCGUUGUCCGGAAUAAUUGGGCGUAAAGGGCGCGUAGGCGGCUCGGUAAGUCUGGAGUGAAAGUCCUGCUUUUAAGGUGGGAAUUGCUUUGGAUACUGUCGGGCUUGAGUGCAGGAGAGGUUAGUGGAAUUCCCAGUGUAGCGGUGAAAUGCGUAGAGAUUGGGAGGAACACCAGUGGCGAAGGCGACUAACUGGACUGUAACUGACGCUGAGGCGCGAAAGUGUGGGGAGCAAACAGAAUUAGAUACCCUGGUAGUCCACACUGUAAACGAU
rnacentral:rRNA from 1 species